rnacentral:lncRNA from 1 species
CAAAUUCCUCAUCCAAGAAUGGCACACGGUUAAAUUUCCAAAACGGAAAAUAAACAGUCGCAGAUAUGCCGGAGGAGCAGCACAAGCUACUGAUCUCCACCAUGCCCAUCCAGCAGCUGAACCUACUGAUAUCCGCCAUGCUCGUCCUGCAGAUGAAGCACCAACAACUAAGGUAAAUACGGUAAACACAAGUACAGGUACGAAGUCGCCAUCUUUUACGUUCUCUUCUGCUUCGCCCCUGCGUCCUAACACUUCUAAUUCUCUCCCCAGCAAAGAAGAUGUCAAAGGGAAAAAUAAAGUUGGGAGUUACAAAAGAAGUAUUAGAUCACCCAAUAGGGAUAUUGCUGAACCUUCGUCUCUCACCUCUCUUCCCUGUUCCAAUCAAUUGGCAGCAUUAAAUGCUACUUCUCCAUCUACUCCAAAUAUUUCUUUCCCCAAAGAAAGUAAUGAUGUAACCAUGGCUGCAAAUAACCGAGCCCCCAAAAAAGAAAAUAUCACUUUUUCAUGUCCUCCGUUACAAACAAGAGAAAUUUUCACUGACACAUCCCCCAGUGUCAGCAACAUGUCAUUUUCCAAAGAAAACUCUCCUAAUCUUACUGUAGAUAACCCAAAAAAUUUACCAACUACGUUUGAUCAAAGGGAUGACAUGGCAAUCAUUUUGCCAAAUACCACUCAACAAGAAAAUCCUUUGUCAUCACUAUCAGCAUACUUGACAUCCGACCAAUGCAUGCAAAACAUCUCAAUUCUUAACUCCUCUACUACUAGCUCCGCCGUUUUAACAGAUACCAACACCUCUUACUCACUACUUCACUCUUCCAUAAAAUCAUUGCCUCUCCCACUUCACUCUACUUAAAUACUUCAGAUCACUCAACUGAAGAUGAACAACCGCUUUGUUGUACCACUUCAUCAGAAAGUUUGACUUUCCCCUGACCCUCGGCUCCCACGCUCUCUCAACAUGGAAAUUCCAACUAUACCACCUCAUGUCACCCGCCAUCCUCUCCUCUAUGCAACCCAACCAGUUCAUCCACUCCAUCAGCCACAAAUAUGGAUCGAGAAGGCCCUCCAAGGGCAAGCUGCAUUGUUCUCAAUGGACAUCAAUGGAGUUGAAACAUUGGUCAUUUUACAAAAUCAGAAGUUUCUUGCCUAACUGGUCUCGGAAGGCAUAAAAUGGGCCAUAGAAUACUUUAUGAACCAAAUGUGGCUUACGAACAUCAUGGACCAACUACCCCAAUCAAUCACUCCACAGUUUCUCCACAGAAUGCAGACCUUAUGGAAUUUGCCUCAUCUACUAGCUCAGUUCCCCAACCUGCAAGAAGUUGCUAUGACCCCGUUCUUCACUCCUUGAUCAGUUAUCAAUGCGGACCCCCUUUUCUUUCCAUGGAUUUCCAUCCCACUCCAACAGGGCCAAUUCUUGCUUCCCUCUACUCCGCCACUAGUCCCAGUCCAAGCCCUCGAGUCAGAGCAUAUAAAGAGAACCUCCUUCACGGAGAUCUCUACCUUCAAAAAAGCGAGUCUCAUGAUCUUCCCCGAGGACGAGGACAAUAAGUAUGUCCAUCUUUGUCCAAUCUCUUUACUGGAGAGCUCCUUCGACCUGCGUCCGGCCAUCAACAGUGCCAUAGCCAAGUUCGCAGUAGUGAUGACACCCACUCUUAGGUGCAGUCAAUUUCCUCUUGGGGCCAGCUUCUCUUCUCACCCAAACUUUUUCCCCCCCAUGACUCAAGCCACUAGCUUUGUUAUUUGGAACACAAGGGGAGUUAAUAAUGAGAAUUUUAGGUGAAACUUUAGAGAACUUAUUAACACGCACAACCCUUGUCUGGUUGCGCGACUAGAAACUAAAAGGCAUGAUCACUUGAGUCUUAUGUUUGAAUUCGGGUUUGACAACUACUGGGAGGUUCUUGCUCAAGGACAGUCGGGGGGCAUUGUACUACUUUGGCAUGCAAACUUUGUGAGUGUCACUAGACAAAGUCAGUCUGAACAAGAACUCCAUGCCAUGAUACAGGUACAUCCGAAAACCUACUACUACCUUUUAUCCAUUAUUUAUGCAAGUAAUGAUUUAAAUAAGCAUUGUUCUAGCCUUGAAACUAUUGCUAAUGAUAUAAAUGACCCUUAGUUGAUUGCCGGUGACUUUAAUGAAAUAUUCUCUCAAUCUGAUAAAUGGGGCGGCCGACACAUCCACAAUAGAAGAAGCCUUGAUUUUUUAUCCUGUAUAAAUCACUGUAAUUUACUUGACCUAGAUUACAAGGGUAGUAAGUAUACCUGGUCAAAUUAUCGUAAACAUAACAAAGGGCUCAUUUUAGAGAGACUAGAUAGUCUUUGCGAAUACUGCUUGGACAGAUCAGUGGCCGAAUACCCAUAUUACUCAUAUCCCGAGAACCUACUCAGAUCAUAAUCCUCUCCUUAUUUCCCUCAGUAAUAAGUUUGUUAUGGGCGGAGGCAACCUUUUUAGGCUUGAAAAGUUUUGGAUGGACUAUCCCGAAUUUGAUAAUACGGUCAAAGCUAGUUGGGACUACUAUACAGUUUUAGAGGCUAUCCCUAUCUUUAGGCAGACUGUUUUGAAUUGGAGUAGAGACACCUUUGGAAAUAUUAAGAAGAACAAAAAAACUAUUUUAGCAAGGCUCUCUGGCAUUCAAAUCUCUCCUGCCUAUCCCUUUAGUAGUUUUCUUCAGAAUCUUGAAAAGGACCUUAGGACUGAGUUUAACAAAAUCCUUAAAAUUGAAGAAGACUAUUGGCGCAUGCGAUCCCGUAUCAAUUGGCUUCAGCAGGGGGAUGCUAACACUAGUUUUUUUCACCUUUCCAUUCUCAAUAGACGUCGCAAAAAUAAAAUCUCUUAUUUCCAAGACGCUCAGAAUAACUGGAUCAUUGGUCCUGUCAAAAUUUCCAACCACACUUUGGACUAUUUUGUUAAUUGUUUUACCACUAGUCACUCCACUUCCUACUGGAAACAUAUCACCACCUCCCCUGCUAGCUGCCACCAGUUUGAUCUUUCAUGUCUUGAUUCCCCCUUCAAGACGUGGAAAUAACUCAGGCCCUUUUCUCUUUCAAGCUUUUUAAGGCUCCGGGCCCGGACGGAUUGCACCCCCACUUCUUUCAAUCCCACUGGCACACCGUCGACCCCUCCAUCAAGGAACUUUGUCAUCAGGUCUUCACCAACCAAAGAGUUCCUUCUUCUAUUAAUGAAACUCUCUUAUGUCUCAUUCCAAAGUUUGCUAAUGCUAACAAACUUCAGAAUUUCCAGCCAAUUAGUUUAUGUAAUACUACCUAUAAGUUGAUUACAAAAAUUAUUGCAAAUCGUAUCAAGCCCCACUUAGCAUAUCUCAUUGGCCCUCACCAAACUAGUUUCCUCAAAGGUCGUAGAGCCUGCGAUAACGCUAUUCUUGUCCAGGAGCUUAUUACCCAUCUUCGUCGUACUGAGAGUACGAAACGAUGCUUUAUGCUCAACUGGAUCUCAAAAAAAUGUUCAAUCGUCUUGAAUGGUCCUUCGUUUAUCUGCGCUCCUCUACUUCAAAUUUUCUCCUAAAAUUACUUCCCUCAUAAUGAACUGCAUUUCUUCUAGUAGUAUAGCUGUUCUUGUCAACGGCACUUAAACGACUUACUUCUCGCCUUCUAGAGGAAUCCCCCAAGGGGACCCCAUGUUCUUGUAUAUUUUUAUCCUUUGUAUGGAGAUGCUUUUCACUUAUAUAAACCAUCAAGUCGAUCUCCUGACUUGGGAUCCAAUUACCCUUUCCCCUACGGGCCCCCAGUUGUCACACCUUUUCUUUGAUGACGAUUUGACGCUUAUCUCUAAGGCUACUUUCAAGUCAGUUCACACUAUUGCUAAUCGCGUGAAAUCUUUUUGCUCCCUUUCAGGCCAAAACAUUAACGUAUCUAAAUCCAAAGCCUUACUCUCUAAAAAAUGACCGGCGGCCGUUAAGGACCUUAUUUGGAGCCUAAUGCGCAUUUUACCUGCGGAAAAUUUUGAAAAAUAUUUAGGCUUCCCUAUUCUUAAUACCAAGCCCAAAUGCAACGACUUCCAAUUUAUAUUAGAUAAUAUGCACAGAAAGCUCGCUUCUUGGAAAACUAAUUUCCUCUCUCAAUCAGGACGUUUAGUACUAGCCAAAUAUACUCUUAAUGCGAUCCCGGCUUACACCCUGUAGUACUUUAAGCUCCCUAAAAAUAUCUGUCAUUUUAUCGAUCAAAUUCAACGGGACUUUCUGUGGGGGUCCUCCUCUGUCAAACGCAAAAUUUAUUAUGUUGGUUGGGAACAAGUUACUAAACCAAAAGUAAACGGAGGCUUGGGGCUUUGUGUCACGCCCCAAAAUCCCAUCGGACCGGACUGGCACCCGAAGCCGAGAAGGCCCGGGAGAACCCGUUCAGAUACCUGUACUUUCACUUACAUGUCACCAAAAAUUUGGACAGCACUUCGUUGCAUAUAGAAGGGUCUAAUUACCUGUAUCAGCACAACACGCACAAAUAUAUAUAUAUAUAAUACUUGGCCGUCGGGGCCACCACAUAUACAAAUAUAACAUCACUAUAUAAACUUCCAUGACUUUACCCUUCCUUAUGUCUACAAAGCCUCUAGGAUAUACAUGACAUAACUAGGGUCGGGACAAACCCCCGCCCACACGUGACUCAUGUACAAUAACAAAACAUAAGGAACCGACUCGGAAAGCUCCGAAGCAAACUGGAGCUCACCAACAAUAGCUGUAUGACCUGGCUCCUACUUGUGCGGUGUAUGAGCUGAGGUACCUGUGCCUGCAGCAUGAAAUGCAGGUCCCCCGUGAGGGACGUCAGUACGAAAUAUGUACUGAGUAUGUAAAGCUGUAAAUAAUCACAUAUGAUAUAGGAGCUCAAUAGAAAUCAGAAACAAGUGAAUAAGUCGUAAUAGGAGUGGACCACACUUACUAGAACUUGUGACAACCUGUACAUUGUAUUUAUUCAAUCACUUUACCUUCGUUCUUAUCGUCUUUGUAAUCAUUACUGUACUGUACUGUGACCAUUAGGCUGCCUCCAGUACAUAUCAACUGGGAUCGACCCAUGCUAGGCUUAUGCCCCUGGGAUACCACCCAUAAACACAUAAAUAGGGAUCGACCCAUGCUAGGCUUAUGCCCCUGGGAUACCACCCGAUAAGAGAGAACUUCCAUCACUUAGUUCAAUUAAUCUUUGAGAUUGUUAUUUCGGUCGCCACCACAUUUUUGAUACUUUGAAACAAUGAUACAUCAAUAGGAACCAAGUAAUAGACCUUCUAUACAAUAACGAUGUAAUAAAGACUCAUUGGUACAUCAACAAUGUGUUUCAGAAUCAUCAAUAUCACAACAAUGAAAUAGGAGCCUUUUGGUAUAUCAAUGAAACAUUUUGACACUUUAUAGGAUGGAAACAACUUCGUUGGUAACGUAGAACAAUACAUGUUUUUGGACAACCUCGGAAUCUUACUUGAUGGAACAUUGGUGUUUUCAUGCCAAAGAACAUUGUUAGAGUAUGCUUUACAUACCUCGUUGUAGAUUCGGAUACCAAUUCAACACAACUUCCCGCCUUUACAAAUCACUUAUCUACAAUGAAAUGUUUGGCAUCUAGUAUUAGCAACCCAACACCACAAUUCUCUUCCAUAAUUCCAUACUACCAAUAUUUGCAAAACAUUCCAAAAAUCAACUUGAACAAUAGGUUUAUGUGUGUGUAUAUAUAUAAUCAUCAUUUCAAUACCACAUCAUCACACCAAAUCCCUUCACAAUUCAACAUAAUCCAACUAUGCACAAGAAUAAUCCAACAUCAUUUCCAAUCAUCUUUCAACAACAAUCAAAUAACAUACUUCUUAUGCUCACAUGCAUAUAUAUAUAUAUACAUAUCCAUAUAAAUAACACCAACAUAAUUUACAUCCUUACCAUAAAAUGGCCCUUUUGAUUUCGAAGUCCUGUUGGCACAAAUAAGGGGUGUUUCUCGAAGCCCUCGAGACGGUGAACACAACUACGGAAUCAAUUUGGAUUUUCUACGGUUGAAUCACAAGAUAAUUGGAGUUGAACUUAGGCUAGGGUUUCUUAUUCUUCAAUAAUUUGGAUGAUAAAUGAUGGAUAUGAGGCUAAUUAUAUGUAUAUAAUGACCAAUUUUCGUCCAUGAGGUGAUGGAAAAUGACCAUAUUGCCCUUAAAAUUUAAGUAGAUCCGAAUCUGUCCAUGGUGGACUCUUUUGAUAGGGUAAAGUAAAUCGACCAUAACUCUUUGCUNNNNNNNNNNNNNNNNNNNNNNNNNNNNNNNNNNNNNNNNNNNNNNNNNNNNNNNNNNNNNNNNNNNNNNNNNNNNNNNNNNNNNNNNNNNNNNNNNNNNNNNNNNNNNNNNNNNNNNNNNNNNNNNNNNNNNNNNNNNNNNNNNNNNNNNNNNNNNNNNNNNNNNNNNNNNNNNNNNNNNNNNNNNNNNNNNNNNNNNNNNNNNNNNNNNNNNNNNNNNNNNNNNNNNNNNNNNNNNNNNNNNNNNNAAAUCUUUAUAUCGUUGGAAAGCUAACUCGAUAAACUUCGCAUAGGAACUUCGACGAGCAAAUUUCGGUAUAAAUAAAGUCGAUUCCUAUACACAUAUAAUCAAACUAUACACUUGAAACCAUCUCAAAAUUAUCAAUACUCAUACUUAAACUCAUAUAUACCUAACUUAUGAUCAAUACAUAUACUCCAACACAUAUAACCAUGGCUAAUGCACGUAAUUAAGUACGGGGUGUUACACUUUGUGACUGUGAAAACAAAAACAAAGCAAUUUUCACCAGUCUUUCCUGGCGUAUAUUUACUCAACCUUCCUCUCUAUGGGCUCGAACGUUAGUCUCCAAAUAUAAUAAUUGGCACCAGUCCUCCACUCGUUCCUUCAUCUGGAAAAAUAUUCUCCUUGGCGGUGUUAUUUGUAAUAAAUCGACUGCAUGGGCUCCGGCUUCGGGGGCCUUCAUCAACGUUUGGUCUUACCGAUGGAUUCCCAACGUCCCUCCCCUGCGCCAGGUACUCUCAGGCCCCCUUCACCGAAAUAAAGAUAAGCUUCGCUUAUCCGAUAUGUGGAACGGGCACUCUUGGGAGUGGGAGAAGAUUUCUUUUGAUAUACCCUUAGAUAUUAUCCAUCGUGCUGCUGCUAUUUGUCCCUCCGACACUUUGGGUAAUCAAUAUAAACCUUACUGGGCCCUUAAUCCUAAUGGCCUCUUAUCUACCAAAUUAGUCUACCUUUCUCUUAUCAGCCAUCACAGUAAUAAUUAUGAUUUCCAUUGGAUCUGGAACCUUCGCACUUUAGAAAAGAUAAAAAAUUUCCUUUGGUUGUGCUCCUAUGGCAGGCUUCCUAUUUCAGCCUACCUCCACCAUAUAGGUGUCUCUCCUUCCCCUCUUUGCAGUGUUUGUAAUUCUGCUCCAGAAUCUGCUGUGCACCUCUUCUUUCACUGUUUCAUAGCUAGAAAAUUCUAGAUUGACAUAGGUAUUAAUAGCUCUCACUUCGAUUUUUCCAAUCUCCAUUGGCUCCAAGUGAUGAAAAAAUCCCAUCUCUCUUUCUUCAACCAUCCUUUGGAAUGGCUCGACUUUUUACCUUUUGCGUUAUGAAACCUUUGGCUAAACCGUAAUCAGAAUGUUUUUCACAAAAAUAUUAACUUUCUGUCAAUUGAAUUGGUGCAUCACAAGGUUGAGGAAUUUCAUUAUUAUUCGCGCUUACCUAGCAACCUAACCAACACUAUUACUGUCAAUAUUAAGUGGGUUCCCCCUAAGCGAGGAACUUAUAAGUUGAAUGUAGACGGCUCGUUCUCAAAUACAUCCAACUGCAGUGGCAUCGGCAGAGUCAUUCGCGAUGCUGACGGCCAAUGGAUUGUUGGGUUCUCCAACAAAAGCAUGGGUAAUUCAGGCAUGAUGGUUGAGUUGGAAGCUCUUCACCAAGGCCUGUGUAUGGCAUCAUCCUUUGCGUGCACACCUCUUGAAAUAGAGUCGGACUGUACAGAUCUUAUCCAACUUCUUCAGCACCCAAUUUCUCCUUAUACUAACAUAGUCUCUUCUUUUGCAGGUUAAUGUUGAGGAACUUGGGGAAUCUAGUGGUACAACAUAAUUUCCGACUUGAUAACACUGUUGCAGAUAGCCUUGCCAAAGCAGGAUCUCAUCUAUUACAUAUCCAAGCUCAACCCUUUUUGGUCUCUCCACCUCCUACUGUGAAAGCUUUGCUGCAACACGACCGAGAUGGAGCUAGUACUAGUAUAUUAGUUUCUUGGCCUGUAUGCCAUCACCUAGUUUCUCUAGGAAACCAGUCUGUAAUAAGUAAUUCUAGCGUCAAUAACUCUAAGACUUU